UGAGGAAUAUUGGUCAAUGGGCGCGAGCCUGAACCAGCCAAGUAGCGUGAAGGAUGAAGGUCCUACGGAUUGUAAACUUCUUUUAUAAGGGAAUAAAGUCACCCACGUGUGGGUGUUUGUAUGUACCUUAUGAAUAAGCAUCGGCUAACUCCGUGCCAGCAGCCGCGGUAAUACGGAGGAUGCGAGCGUUAUCCGGAUUUAUUGGGUUUAAAGGGAGCGUAGACGGGUCGUUAAGUCAGCUGUGAAAGUUUGAGGCUCAACCUUAAAAUUGCAGUUGAUACUGGCGUCCUUGAGUACGGUUGAGGCAGGCGGAAUUCGUGGUGUAGCGGUGAAAUGCUUAGAUAUCACGAAGAACCCCGAUUGCGAAGGCAGCCUGCUAAACCGCCACUGACGUUGAGGCUCGAAAGUGUGGGUAUCAAACAGGAUUAGAUACCCUGGUAGUCCACACGGUAAACGAUGGAUACUCGCUGUUGGCGAUAGACUGUCAGCGGCUUAGCGAAAGCGUUAAGUAUCCCACCUGGGGAGUACGCCGGCAACGGUGAAACUCAAAGGAAUUGACGGGGGCCCGCACAAGCGGAGGAACAUGUGGUUUAAUUCGAUGAUACGCGAGGAACCUUACCCGGGCUUGAAUUGCAGACGAAUUGCUUGGAAACAGGCAAGCCGCAAGGCGUCUGUGAAGGUGCUGCAUGGUUGUCGUCAGCUCGUGCCGUGAGGUGUCGGCUUAAGUGCCAUAACGAGCGCAACCCUCGUGUCCAGUUACUAGCAGGUUAUGCUGAGGACUCUGGACAGACUGCCAUCGUAAGAUGUGAGGAAGGUGGGGAUGACGUCAAAUCAGCACGGCCCUUACGUCCGGGGCUACACACGUGUUACAAUGGGGGGUACAGCAGGCAGCUACCGGGCGACCGGAUGCCAAUCCCGAAAGCCUCUCUCAGUUCGGACUGGAGUCUGCAACCCGACUCCACGAAGCUGGAUUCGCUAGUAAUCGCGCAUCAGCCACGGCGCGGUGAAUACGUUCCC
rnacentral:rRNA from 1 species